GAGCCGCUAGCUCAGUUGGUAGAGCACCAGCCUUUUAAGCUGAGGGUCGUAGGUUCGAGUCCUACGCGGCUCACCA
rnacentral:tRNA from 1 species